rnacentral:rRNA from 1 species
AACAAACGCUGGCGGCGUGCCUAAUACAUGCAAGUCGAACGGGGAAAGCUUUCGGGUGAGUACUAGUGGCGCACGGGUGAGUAACGCGUGGAUAAUCUGCCUUAGAGUGGGGGAUAACUAGUCGAAAGAUUAGCUAAUACCCCAUAAGACCACAAGAACUGCGGUUCAAGGGGUCAAAGGUUUUUCGCUCUAAGAUGAGUCCGCGUAAGAUUAGCUAGUUGGUAGGGUAACGGCCUACCAAGGCGACGAUCCUUAACUGGUCUGAGAGGAUGAUCAGUCACACUGGAACUUAGACACGGUCCAGACUCCUACGGGAGGCAGCAGUAGGGAAUAUUGCCCAAUGGAGGAAACUCUGAUGCAGCGACGCGGCGUGAGUGAUGAAGGCCUUCGGGUCGUAAAGCUCUGUCGCAGGGGAAUAACACAAUGAAGGUACCCUGUAAGAAAGGAUCGGCUAACUUCGUGCCAGCAGCCGCGGUAACAC